GACGAACGCUGGCGGCGUGCUUAACACAUGCAAGUCGAGCGGUAAGGCCCUUUCGGGGGUACACGAGCGGCGAACGGGUGAGUAACACGUGGGUGACCUGCCCUCAGCUCUGGGAUAAGCCUGGGAAACCGGGUCUAAUACCGGAUAUGACUCCAUGACGCAUGUUGUGGGGUGGAAAGCCUUGUGCGGCUGAGGAUGGGCCCGCGGCCUAUCAGCUUGUUGGUGGGGUGANGGCCUACCAAGGCGACGACGGGUAGCCGGCCUGAGAGGGCGACCGGCCACACUGGGACUGAGACACGGCCCAGACUCCUACGGGAGGCAGCAGUGGGGAAUCUUGCGCAA
rnacentral:rRNA from 1 species